CUUCAGGAAAAUUAGUUUGUCAGGUAUAGAGCCAGUGUCACUAAUCUUAGUGGGCCUCAGCAGGACUUGAGACUGGCCAUUGUUGGAGUGGGGAGAAGACCUUCUGAUAUGGGGUUUUGUGGAAUGUGCCUUUUACUCCUGGUCGCGUAUACCUAUAGAGAGGGCAUCUGUGGAUGCUUCAGGAUAAAUUUGAGAUGUCAAGUUAGAGCAGGAAGCCUCUCACUGUACUGCACAGCUGAGCUCCUCACAGUCCCCAAGAGUCCUGUGGAUGUCCUGGACCCUGGAGUCAGCUCUCCAACUUUUUGAAACUCAUUUGGAUAAUGUGCAGAAAAGUAACAAAAUCAACAGUUGAUAAUUGAUUCAGAGAAACCAAUUUCUCCUGACUGCAAAUACAACCAAAUCUCUGUUGAAAUACCUCCUAAAAUAAUUAUGAAAAAAACCCAACAACUUGAAAGAGAGCUUCUCCCGCACUGUGUAUGUGCAUUCCCACCAAAUGCCUUGGAGUGCAGGAUUAUUUGGGAUAAAGCUGACAAAGAGACGGAAGACCGAAAGCUAAGCAUAGUACCAAAGGUCAUCUUCUGAUAAUGUGUCUAUCUUCUGCACAAGACAGUAAGUCUCCAAAGGCAGGGACAAAGUCUUAUUUACCCAGUGAGGGCACAAAGAUGUUUGUUGAACUGAAUUUAAAUGGUGGUAUUUAAAUGCAGUGGAAGAAAUGAUAUGCGUGGCAUGUAAAUAGUUGUCAAUGACUUUAUGCUCUAGGUCAGUUUUGCCAAGAUCAUAGAAGGGGCCUCAAUAUGUGAUAAACUAACUACGAUAAGGAAAUGGAAACUGAAGCAGCACAAUAUGAACAAGGAAGAAUUGUCAUCAAUCACUCAAGCCAACAGACGCCACCAGCUUUGGAAAAGAUUUUAGCAUUUUAUGCCCAUCUGUUUCUUAAUCUACUUAAUACAUGCCUCUCUAGCCAUUUUGGUUGGAUUCUGCUUUCUGUUGUUUUUGUUCUGUAAAUAAGAGUGAUUUAUAUUUUUUUUAAAUAGAAAUUAUGAAAAUGGUCCUGAUUAUAUGCUGCUCAAGUACACAUGCCCCCUGCUGCCACUUGAGCAUACCUGAUCCUAUCUGACACGCUCAUUCUCCAUAUGACAUCCAAAGAGUUUACACUUCCUGUCCAAGGUCACACAACAAGACAUCAGCUGAGCUGGAUUAGGAUCAGGACUUCUGUUAAGCACUUUUCUGGCUACAGUGCACUAUUGUAAUAUUUUCUAGAUGAAAUCCCUACUUUAGUAGUGGGAUACUCAGACUACAAUAUCAGAAGUCUAGUGUCAGCAUCGCCAUGC
rnacentral:lncRNA from 1 species